AGAGCGAACGCUGGCGGCAGGCCUAACACAUGCAAGUCGAGCGCGUGUAGCAAUACACGAGCGGCAGACGGGAGAGUAACACGUGGGAACGCGCCCUUCGGUUCGGAAUAACUCAGGGAAACUUGAGCUAAUACCGGAUACGCCCUUACGGGGGAAAGAUUUAUUGCCGAAGGAACGGCCCGCGUCCGAUUAGCUAGUUGGUGAGGUAACGGCUCACCAAGGCGACGAUCGGUAGCUGGUCUGAGAGGAUGACCAGCCUCACUGGGACUGAGACACGGCCCAGACUCCUACGGGAGGCAGCAGUGGGGAAUAUUGGACAAUGGGCGCAAGCCUGAUCCAGCCAUGCCGCGUGGAUGAUGAAGGCCUUAGGGUUGUAAAGUCCUUUUAACGGGGAAGAUAAUGACGGUACCCGUAGAAUAAGCCCCGGCUAACUUCGCGCCAGCAGCCGC
rnacentral:rRNA from 1 species